rnacentral:rRNA from 1 species
UACGUAGGGGGCAAGCGUUGUCCGGAAUCAUUGGGCGUAAAGCGCGUGUAGGCGGCUCGGUAAGUCCGCUCUGAAAAGUCCAGGGCUCAACCCUGGGAUGCGGGUGGAUACUGUCGGGCUCGAGUCCGGAAGAGGCGAGUGGAAUUCCUGGUGUAGCGGUGAAAUGCGCAGAUAUCAGGAGGAACACCAAUGGCGAAGGCAGCUCGCUGGGACGUGACUGACGCUGAGACGCGAAAGCGUGGGGAGCAAACAGG